rnacentral:misc_RNA from 1 species
UGGUUCUCCCAUCGAUGAAGAACGCAGCGAAAUGCGAUAAGUAAUGUGAAUUGCAGAAUUCAGUGAAUCAUCGAAUCUUUGAACGCAACUUGCGCUCCCUGGUAUUCCUAGGAGCAUGCCUGUUUGAGUGUCGUUUAUCUCUCCAACUUUGUGUGUAUUUUUGUAUGCACACAAACGCGGGUCCUUGGGCUUGGUUUUGCUUGCCGCAAAACCUUGCCUUAAAUUGAUGAACUGGAAAUCAGUCGGGUUGCUAAGGCAAUUUAAGCCCGCGUAAACGGUUUCUGUAGACCACACACACUAUGUAAAUCUGGCCUCAAAUCAGGUAGGACUACCCGCUGA